GAUGAAGAACGUAGCGAAAUGCGAUACUUGGUGUGAAUUGCAGAAUCCCGUGAACCAUCGAGUCUUUGAACGCAAGUUGCGCCCGAAGCCACUAGGCCGAGGGCACGCCUGCCUGGGCGUCACACGCCGUUGCCCCCCCAUCUACUCCUUCGGGAUUGCGGGGGGGCGGAUGAUGGCCUCCCGUGCGCCUAGCCGCGCGGUUGGCUUAAAUACCAAGUCCUCGGCGACGCACGCCACGACAAUCGGUGGUUGCGAAACCUCGGUUGCCCGUCGUGUGCGUUCGUCGCGCAUCGAGGGCUCGAAAAAAUGCUCGGCUCCGGCUGGGCUUUCAACGCGACCCCAGGUCAGGCGGGGUUACCCGCUGAAUUUAAGCAUAUCAAUAAGCGGAGGA
rnacentral:misc_RNA from 1 species